UACGGAGGAUCCGAGCGUUAUCCGGAUUUAUUGGGUUUAAAGGGUGCGUAGGCGGCCUGUUAAGUCAGGGGUGAAAGACGGUAGCUUAACUAUCGCAGUGCCCUUGAUACUGAUGGGCUUGAAUGUAGUUGAGGCAGGCGGAAUGUGACAAGUAGCGGUGAAAUGCAUAGAUAUGUCACAGAACACCAAUUGCGAAGGCAGCUGACGAAACUGUAACUGACGCUGAGGCUCGAAAGCGUGGGGAUCAAACAGG
rnacentral:rRNA from 1 species